AGUUGUAUCCUGGCUCAGGACGAACGCUGGCGGCGUGCUUAAUGCAUGCAAGUCGAGGGAGAACCACUUGAUUCGUAAGAUGAAGGUGGGGAAACCGGCGAACGGGUGCGUAACACGUGAGAAACCUGCCCUGGAGAUCGGGAUAGCCCGAGGAAACUCGGAUUAAUACCGAAUAUUCUCUUUGGAUCGCAUGAUCCGAUGAGGAAACAGUCCGCUGCUCCAGGAUGGUCUCGCGGCCUAUCAGCUUGUUGGUGAGGUAACGGCUCACCAAGGCAACGACGGGUAGCUGGUCUGAGAGGACGAUCAGCCACACUGGGACUGAGACACGGCCCAGACUCCUACGGGAGGCAGCAGCAGGGAAUAUUGCACAAUGGGCGAAAGCCUGAUGCAGCGACGCCGCGUGCGGGAUGAAGGCCUUCGGGUUGUAAACCGCUUUCAGGAGGGAAGAAAAUGACGGUACCUCCAGAAGAAGGCCCGGCCAACUACGUGCCAGCAGCCGCGGUAAUACGUAGGGGCCAAGCGUUGUCCGGAUUUAUUGGGCGUAAAGGGCUCGUAGGCGGUUUAGUAAGUCAAUCGUGAAAUGUCGGGGCUCAACCCCGAGACUGCGGUCGAAACUGCUAUGACUAGGGUCCGGUAGAGGUGAGUGGAAUUCUCGGUGUAGCGGUGAAAUGCGCAGAUAUCGAGAGGAACACCAGUAGCGAAGGCGGCUCACUGGGCCGGUACCGACGCUGAGGAGCGAAAGCGUGGGGAGCAAACAGGAUUUAGAUACCCUGGUAGUCCACGCCGUAAACGUUGAACACUAGGUGUGGCGGACUUAUCCACGUCUGCCGUGCCGACGCUNACGCAUUAAGUGUUCCGCCUGGGGA
rnacentral:rRNA from 1 species